rnacentral:misc_RNA from 1 species
UUAAGUUCAGCGGGUAGUCCCGCCUGAUUUGAGGCCAAAGCGUAAAGGGGGUCGCGGCCGUAAACGGCACGCACAUUGUGAGCCCGGAGCUCGACGUCCUCGGCACAGCGGCGAAAUGUAACUAUCACGCCAAAGGCCAGCAGGACGCUCCGCAGGCUAAUUCGUUUCAGGCGAGCCGGCGUUGACCGUCGGCAGGCGCC